rnacentral:rRNA from 1 species
CAGUAGCCACGGGAAUACGAAGGGUGCUAGCGUUGUUCGGAAUCACUGGGCGUAAAGGGCGCGUAGGCGGCCUGUUAAGUCGGAUGUGAAAGCCCGGGGCUCAACCCCGGAACUGCAUCCGAGACUGGCAGGCUUGAGACCGGGAGAGGAGGGUGGAAUAUCCAGUGUAGAGGUGAAAUUCGUAGAUAUUGGAUGGAACACCGGUGGCGAAAGCGGCUCUCUGGCCCGGAUCUGACGCUGAGGCGCGAAAGCGUGGGGAGCAAACAGGAUUAGAUACCCCUGUAGUCCCUGUCUCUUAUAC